GCCAGGUGUGGUGGCGCAUGCCUGUAAUCCCAGCUACUUGGGAGGCUGAGGCAGGAGAAUCUCUUGAAUUCAGGAGGCGUGGAGGUUCAGUGAGCUGAGAUUGCACCACUGUACUCCAGCCUGGGUGACAAAGCAAGACUCUGUCUCAA
ensembl:misc_RNA Metazoa_SRP Metazoan signal recognition particle RNA